UCCUAUUAUUUGUCAUUGAAGAACAAAGGCCCAGUCAUCAAGAAUUACCUGCCAAUUCGAAUGCUCACACAUAUUGUCUUGUGUCAUAGUCCUACAGUUCACCUGUGAUGUCGUAAUUUAUUCUCAGUGGUCUCUGACCAUUUCUGCAAAUUGUUUAAACACUGAAAAGUCAUUCAGAAAGCUGAAAAUUAUAAACUCUCUUGAUUCUUGUUUGCUCACCUUAUAAGAAUGUGUAAAAAUAGUCCCCUGCUCUCACCUCCCAUUUAUAUUUCCCCCUUUUUUUUCCAGCUCUAAAACAACCAACCAAGUUAGUAGCUUGCCAUCCUUGAAGAGGAAGAGGGAAAUGGUGCUGGCAAUAUAUAGGUCGUUGGAGCUGUAAAACAACCAACCAAGGAAAGUAGCUUGCCAUUCUCAGAGGAAGCAGGAAAAGGUCUUGGUCAGAUCCAGGUCAUUUGGAGGGGUUUCUCAACAGUACUGCGCCUUGAUGAAGUAGAGUCCCGUUUUGAU